GCAAGUCUGGUGCCAGCAGCCGCGGUAAUUCCAGCUCCAAUAGCGUAUAUUAAAGUUGUUGCAGUUAAAAAGCUCGUAGUUGAACCUCGGGAUCAAUGGAUCGGUCAUGCCAUCGGUAUGUACUGGUCUCAUUGGUUCUCACCUUCUAAGGAACCAUGAUGUCAUUCAGUUGAUGUUGUGGGGAAUUAGGACUGUUACCUUGAAAAAAUUAGAGUGUUUAAAGCAGGCUAACGCUUGAAUACAUUAGCAUGGAAUAAUGAAAUAGGACAUCGCAUUCUAUUUUGUUGGUUUCUAGGAUCGAUGUAAUGAUUAAUAGGGAUAGUUGGGGGCAUUAGUAUUCAAUUGUCAGAGGUGAAAUUCUUGGAUUUAUUGAAGACUAACUACUGCGAAAGCAUUUGCCAAGGAUGUUUUCAUUAAUCAAGAACGAAAGUUAGGGGAUCGAAGACGAUCAGAUACCGUCGUAGUCUUAACCAUAAACUAUGCCGACUAGGGAUCGGAUGAUGUUGAUUUUUUAAUGACUCAUUCGGCGCCUUACGGGAAAC
rnacentral:rRNA from 1 species